rnacentral:rRNA from 1 species
GAGUUUGAUCGUGGCUCAGGAUGAACGCUGGCGGCGUGCUUAACACAUGCAAGUCGAACGAAGCGCCUUAUUUGAUUUUCUUCGGAACUGAAGAUUUGGUGACUGAGUGGCGGACGGGUGAGUAACGCGUGGGUAACCUGCCCUGUACAGGGGGAGUAACAAUCAGAAAUAGACUGCUAAUACCGCAUAAGACCACAGCACCGCAUGGUGCAGGGGUAAAAACGUACCGGUGGUACAGGAUGGACCCGCGUCUGAUUAGCUGGUUGGUGAGGUAACGGCUCACCAAGGCGACGAUCAGUAGCCGGCUUGAGAGAGUGAACGGCCACAUUGGGACUGAGACACGGCCCAAACUCCUACGGGAGGCAGCAGUGGGGAAGUAUUGCACAAU